AUAUUAAUAAGGGGAGGAAAAGAAACUAACAAGGAUUCCCCUAGUAACGGCGAGUGAAGCGGGAAGAGCUCAAUUUGAGAAUCGAUCACCCAAGCGGGUUAUCGAGUUGUAGCCUAGAGACGUACUAUCAGCUGGAACCUGGGUAUAAGUUCUUUGGAAUGAGGCAUCAUAGAGGGUGAGAAUCCCGUAUAUGACCCAAAGCUUCCAGCGUACGAUGUGCGUUCAUCGAGUCGAGUUGUUUGGGAAUGCAGCUCAAAAUGGGUGGUAUAUUUCAUCUAAAGCUAAAUAUUGGCCAGAGACCGAUAGCGCACAAGUA
rnacentral:rRNA from 1 species